rfam:Sporomusa malonica strain DSM 5090 genome assembly, contig: Ga0070592_108
UGGAACUUUAAAUCAGUCCUGUGAGGCUGGCAAGGUCAUAGCUUGAUUAUUUAAGCUUAUUUGUGCUAUAUAUUUAGCUCAAUCAAGGCUUUCUGCCGCUUCCAGGCAGAAAGCCUUUUUAAU